AUUGAACGCUGGCGGCAGGCCUAACACAUGCAAGUCGAACGAGUGGCGGACGGGUGAGUAAUGUCUGGGAAACUGCCUGAUGGAGGGGGAUAACUACUGGAAACGGUAGCUAAUACCGCAUACCAUCGGAUGUGCCCAGAUGGGAUUAGCUAGUAGGUGGGGUAACGGCUCACCUAGGCGACGAUCCCUAGCUGGUCUGAGAGGAUGACCAGCCACACUGGAACUUGGACACGGUCCAAGCUCCUACGGGAGGCAGCAGGUGGGAAUAUUGCACAAUGGGCGCAAGCCUGAUGGAGCCAUGCCGCGUGUUAGAAGAAGGCCUUCGGGUUGUAAAGGACUUUCAGCGGGGAGGCGUUACCCGCAGAAGAAGCACCGGCUAACUCCGUGCCAGCAGCCGCGGUAAUAC
rnacentral:rRNA from 1 species